rnacentral:rRNA from 1 species
UACGUAGGUGGCAAGCGUUGUCCGGAUUUACUGGGCGUAAAGCGCGUGUAGGCGGUUCGGUAAGUCCGCUGUGAAAGUCGGGGGCUCAACCCUCGAAUGCCGGUGGAUACUGUCGGGCUAGAGUGCGGAAGAGGCGAGUGGAAUUCCUGGUGUAGCGGUGAAAUGCGCAGAUAUCAGGAAGAACACCCGUGGCUAAGGCGGCUCUCUAGUACGGUACUGACGCUGAGACGCGAAAGCGUGGGGAGCGAACAGG